GCUUAACACAUGCAAGUCGAGGGGCAGCAUUUCAGUUUGCUUGCAAACUGGAGAUGGCGACCGGCGCACGGGUGAGUAACACGUAUCCAACCUGCCGAUAACUCGGGGAUAGCCUUUCGAAAGAAAGAUUAAUACCCGAUGGUAUAAUCAGACCGCAUGGUCUUGUUAUUAAAGAAUUUCGGUUAUCGAUGGGGAUGCGUUCCAUUAGGCAGUUGGUGAGGUAACGGCUCACCAAACCUUCGAUGGAUAGGGGUUCUGAGAGGAGGGUCCCCCACAUUGGAACUGAGACACGGUCCAAACUCCUACGGGAGGCAGCAGUGAGGAAUAUUGGUCAAUGGGCGCAGGCCUGAACCAGCCAAGUAGCGUGAAGGAUGACUGCCCUAUGGGUUGUAAACUUCUUUUAUAUGGGAAUAAAGUUUUCCACGUGUGGAAUUUUGUAUGUACCAUAUGAAUAAGGAUCGGCUAACUCCGUGCCAGCAGCCGCGGUAAUACGGAGGAUCCGAGCGUUAUCCGGAUUUAUUGGGUUUAAAGGGAGCGUAGGUGGACAGUUAAGUCAGUUGUGAAAGUUUGCGGCUCAACCGUAAAAUUGCAGUUGAUACUGGCUGUCUUGAGUACAGUAGAGGUGGGCGGAAUUCGUGGUGUAGCGGUGAAAUGCUUAGAUAUCACGAAGAACUCCGAUUGCGAAGGCAGCUCACUGGACUGCAACUGACACUGAUGCUCGAAAGUGUGGGUAUCAAACAGGAUUAGAUACCCUGGUAGUCCACACAGUAAACGAUGAAUACUCGCUGUUUGCGAUAUACAGUAAGCGGCCAAGCGAAAGCAUUAAGUAUUCCACCUGGGGAGUACGCCGGCAACGGUGAAACUCAAAGGAAUUGACGGGGGCCCGCACAAGCGGAGGAACAUGUGGUUUAAUUCGAUGAUACGCGAGGAACCUUACCCGGGCUUAAAUUGCAUUUGAAUAUAUUGGAAACAGUAUAGCCGUAAGGCAAAUGUGAAGGUGCUGCAUGGUUGUCGUCAGCUCGUGCCGUGAGGUGUCGGCUUAAGUGCCAUAACGAGCGCAACCCUUAUCUUUAGUUACUAACAGGUCAUGCUGAGGACUCUAGAGAGACUGCCGUCGUAAGAUGUGAGGAAGGUGGGGAUGACGUCAAAUCAGCACGGCCCUUACGUCCGGGGCUACACACGUGUUACAAUGGGGGGUACAGAAGGCAGCUACCUGGUGACAGGAUGCUAAUCCCAAAAGCCUCUCUCAGUUCGGAUCGAAGUCUGCAACCCGACUUCGUGAAGCUGGAUUCGCUAGUAAUCGCGCAUCAGCCAUGGCGCGGUGAAUACGUUCCCGGGCCUUGUACACACCGCCCGUCAAGCCAUGAAAGCCGGGGGUACCUGAAGUACGUAACCGCAAGGAGCGUCCUAGGGUAAAACUGGUAAUUGGGGCUAAGUCGUA
rnacentral:rRNA from 1 species